CCCAAGAGAAGCCACACUCAAUGACCCUUCCUCUUGUGAAAAGCAGGCACCAGGCUGGAGAAUGGGUGAUACACUGACAAGCAAAAAGAUGUGGCUCCUGUCUCCAGGAUCCUGAGAGGACAAGAAACAAUGUAUAAAAAACAAGAGCUGUGAUGAGAAGGUACUGCCUGCUAGCUAUGGGAUAGCAGACCUCAUACACAGUCAGCUUAUAAGCAGCUGACACUAAAUGAAGUGAAAGGAACUCCAACCCAGUGGAACAAAGGCAUGGACAGGGCAACAAGAAGACAAGACAAAGCUAAAGAUGACUAGGGUCUCAUCAAGAUGCUCUUCUUAGAAGAGAAAGAAGCUCCUUGGUUAUUUCUGAAGAGAAUCCAUAUUAUCA